UAGGGCGGCACCUUGACGGUACCUAUGAGGAAGCCCCGGCUAAUUACGUGCCAGCAGCCGCGGUAAUACGUAGGGGGCAAGCGUUGUCCGGAAUUAUUGGGCGUAAAGCGCGCGUAGGCGGUUUCUUAAGUCUGAUGUGAAAUCUUGCGGCUCAACCGCAAGCGGUCAUUGGAAACUGGGGAACUUGAGUGCAGAAGAGGAGAGUGGAAUUCCACGUGUAGCGGUGAAAUGCGUAGAUAUGUGGAGGAACACCAGUGGCGAAGGCGACUCUCUGGUCUGUAACUGACGCUGAGGUGCGAAAGCGUGGGGAGCGAACAGGAUUAGAUACCCUGGUAGUCCACGCCGUAAACGAUGAGUGCUAGGUGUUAGGGGGUUUCCGCCCCUUAGUGCUGCAGUUAACGCAUUAAGCACUCCGCCUGGGGAGUACGGCCGCAAGGCUGAAACUCAAAAGAAUUGACGGGGGCCCGCACAAGCGGUGGAGCAUGUGGUUUAAUUCGAAGCAACGCGAAGAACCUUACCAGGUCUUGACAUCUUCGGAUGUCCCUAGAGAUAGGGAGUUCCCUUCGGGGACCGAAUGACAGGUGGUGCAUGGUUGUCGUCAGCUCGUGUCGUGAGAUGUUGGGUUAAGUCCCGCAACGAGCGCAACCCUUGAUCUUAGUUGCCAGCAUUCAGUUGGGCACUCUAAGGUGACUGCCGGUGACAAACCGGAGGAAGGUGGGGAUGACGUCAAAUCAUCAUGCCCCUUAUGACCUGGGCUACACACGUGCUACAAUGGAUGGUACAGAGGGAAGCAAAACCGCGAGGUCAAGCCAAUCCCAUAAAACCAUUCUCAGUUCGGAUUGUAGGCUGCAACUCGCCUACAUGAAGCCGGAAUCGCUAG
rnacentral:rRNA from 1 species